UCUUGGUAAGUAUUCGAACCUUCUUUCCAUUUGUAUCUUGUGGUUUAAGAAAAGCUGAAAACCCCUCUGUCGACUAAGGCUAAAAGGGUUUUUGGUGUUAUUUGGUUUGUUGGUGCUAGUGAGGAUUAAAGGCUACCGAUCGAGGAGUGUGUGAAAAGCUUGGAUCAUCGGAGUGACUAAAUCUAGUCAUCAACUUCGGCAAAAGAGAAAUCGCAUAGGAGAUCUCGUCAAGGAAUAUCGCAAAUCAGGUGAGCCUUGAUGUGGGGACUUGGGCCGAAGGGGAUUUAGAGUGGCCACGGUGAUUGUCUUUGGACUUUUAAAUAAGCGUAGGUUUUCUUUAAAUUUCCUUUAAAUAUUAUUUAUUUUUGGGUUGUAAUAAGGCCAUUUUAACUUUCCUUUUAUUUCUUUCCGGGAUUACUUUAAUUUUAAUAACUUUAAACCUGGUUGAUAAUUAUUCAAAUGGGCUAGACUUAGGACGUGUUUUCAAAAUGAUACUUGUUUUCAAAAUA